ensembl:lncRNA
CUGGCUGAGGUCAAAGGGCGUCUUGUGCAGGUGGAGGGAGAAAAUGAGGCACUCAUGAGAUAUAAGCGGGAGCAGGGAGCCGAGGUGGAAAGGCUGGCAGUGGUGGUGUGUUCUCUGCAGAGCUCGGCCAGGGACAGAGAGGGCACAGAGAGUGUCCAGGCCGAGCGGAGGUGUAUGGACCUGGAGGGGGAGCUGACAGAGACCCGUGCCCAGCUCACGGAGUGCCAAGACAGGCUACAGGAAGCCAGGAGGAGGGCUGAGGAGCAGACCCAGAAGUUCCAGGCCAAGGUGUCCAGUCUGAAGAGCCAGCAUGGCUGUGUUAGUCAGCAGCUGCAGGACAGGAGUGCUGAGGUGCAGAGGCUUCAGAGGUCAUUGGCUGAGCUACAUGGACGAGAGAUGGAGUGGGAGAGAGAGACAUCUGCCCUGCAGGGCCAGCUGGGCCAUGCCAGAGAGGAGCUCCACACCGCCAUCCUCAGGAGGCAGGAACAGCAGCAGAAGGAAGAGCUUUUUGGUGAGCUGCAGAGGGAGGUGGACAGACUGAAGAAUGAGAGACAGGAGCUGCGAAAAAAGCUUUGUGGUAGAGAAGAGGAGCUGAAGAGGCUGAGAGACGAGCAGCAUCAGCUCAAGGACAAGGUCUGUGGCUCUGGGCUCUGGCUGACACCUUUGUGCUUCCCCCGAACAGGAUGACACACAAUGCUGCUUAACAAACCCUCUCCUCUCACGCUGCUGUGUUGUGAGGUGCCUGACUGACUGACACAACGUGGGCAUCUUCUAACGCCUGCUUUCAACCCUUCAACUUCACAUUCACCUCUUAAGCAGUGGGAGCCGACGUGUAAUGAGGCUUUUGGUCGGCCCUUAAAGGCCAAAGAGUGGGUCAGGAGCGUUCCCAGGGAUUGGUGUGGUGUGUGUGUGUCUGCGUAUAUGCACAUGUCUACUGGGCAUGGCCUUGGCAGCCCACACUAAUGAGGGCUCAGACAAGCCCUGUCCCAGUCAAUAGAGGGUGAAAGUGGGACAGAGCAGAGGGAAGACCUGGGACAGAGGGUGAUAAUCUGUAGACGGAGGGAGAGAGGGAACAAGAGAGAAAUAGAAAAGGGUCAGACGGGCGUUUUAGGUGGUCUGCGCUAGAUCCCUGUGUGAGGUGAGUAACCCCGGACGAGUGUUGAGCGCUGGGCCUGCGUGUUUUUACAGCGCGGCUUCACUGUGCUCUGGGACCGCAAUAAACCACGGCCUUCAAAGCACAGCCAAGCUCCACUAACUGCUGAGUGCUUCUCUGGUGGUUGGACAAGAUUACUCUCAAAACAAAGUGCAGACAGGUUGAUUGAUAGAAGGGUCUGUAGAGGUGCGCGCCACAGUGUUUAUUCACACCCUGCUAACACUCGUUUGUUUCAUUCGCAUGGACUGUUAUGUGCUGAUCCUGUUACUGUGUGAGUUUGUCAGUUCAUAAAGAAUAGUCCUGCUCUUUCAGUGGGUUUUAGUGGAAACUCACUAGGGCUGUUAUAGAUGUGUUGUUUUAACAUCCUGGGAACUAGCUGUGACAGGAGGGACAGUCUGCUCUGUGCCACAGCAGACACCGUGAUGACGAGCGUCGGACGUGUUUACAUGAGUGUCUGUACUAUGUCCUUGACCGUUAACGUGUGUGUGUGAGUUGUGUUACUAGAUGUCUCCUGACUGAUAUGAAUGACUGAAGAUGUCUAUUUGAGGAUAUAACUGACUGUGACUGUGUGUCUAUGUGCAGGCUGACGUGGUGGGUCGGGAGCUGUGGGAGGAGAGUGCCCAGCGGGACAGGGAGCUGUGGGAGUGGAGGGACCGCUACCAUGCUGCUUCAGAGGGACUUAGGCUGAGGGAGGCUGGGCUUGAGGAGGUGCAGAGGGCCAGGGACACGGCCCUCAGAGGCCUGAGACUACAGGAGGAGAAGACCCACAGUCUGGGGGCCCAGAUGCAGGAGCUGCAGCACAGCCUGGACGGCCUACAGGGCAGGGUGAGUGGUUGGGACUGGGCAGGUACAGGGAGCAGGGUUGAGGGUGUGGGGGGGGGUCAGGGGAUAGGUAGGAAGAAGAGGGGAGAGGUGGAAGGGAGUCUGGGCCUGAGGAGGUGGCAUGGUUCUAGGAGCUGUGGGGGUCGGAGGGAGGGAGCAGGGUUGGUGACGGUGGUGUGGCUGCAGUGUGGGUCUAGUGAGGACCCGGUCAGGCUCCAUCACAUCAGGUCACUGGGGUCUAAUUAAACUGAGCUCCACAUUAGGCUGCAAUC